UAGCUCAGUUGGUAGAGUGCUUGCCUCCCAUGCACAAAGCCCUGGGUUCAAUCCCCAG
rnacentral:tRNA from 1 species